rnacentral:pre_miRNA from 1 species
AUUGAAAUGAUCUGUUAGUUGUUUGACCACGACACAAGGUUGCAUUUAAAAUCUUUUUAUCUUUGUGCGUGUUUCAAGCGGCUGUUGGUUCAUUUUAAC